UACGGAGGGUGCAAGCGUUAUCCGGAUUCACUGGGUUUAAAGGGUGCGUAGGAGGGCAGGUAAGUCAGUGGUGAAAUCUCCGUGCUUAACAUGGAACUGCCAUUGAUACUAUCUGUCUUGAAUAUUGUGGAGGUUAGCGGAAUAUGUCAUGUAGCGGUGAAAUGCUUAGAUAUGACAUAGAACACCAAUUGCGAAGGCAGCUGGCUACACAUAUAUUGACUCUGAGGCACGAAAGCGUGGGGAUCAAACAGG
rnacentral:rRNA from 1 species